rnacentral:tRNA from 1 species
UGCAGUGUAGCUUAAUGGUAAAGCCCCAAGCUCAUAACUUGGUCUAUGCGAGUUCGACUCUCGCCGCUGCUACCA